rnacentral:rRNA from 1 species
AGUGAACGCUGGCGGUAGGCCUAACACAUGCAAGUCGAACGGCAGCACAGUAAGAGCUUGCUCUUACGGGUGGCGAGUGGCGGACGGGUGAGGAAUACAUCGGAAUCUACUUUUUCGUGGGGGAUAACGUAGGGAAACUUACGCUAAUACCGCAUACGACCUACGGGUGAAAGCAGGGGAUCUUCGGACCUUGCGCGAUUGAAUGAGCCGAUGUCGGAUUAGCUAGUUGGCGGGGUAAAGGCCCACCAAGGCGACGAUCCGUAGCUGGUCUGAGAGGAUGAUCAGCCACACUGGAACUGGGACACGGUCCAGACUCCUACGGGAGGCAGCAGUGGGGAAUAUUGGACAAUGGGCGCAAGCCUGAUCCAGCCAUACCGCGUGGGUGAAGAAGGCCUUCGGGUUGUAAAGCCCUUUUGUUGGGAAAGAAAAGCAGCAGGUUAAUACCCCGCUGUUAUGACGGUACCCAAAGAAUAAGCACCGGCUAACUUCGUG